GUGUUUUGACCAGCCACACAAACUUGCAGCAACUGAAGCGAAAUUCUGGCAACACGUGUUUCAUGCGCGAACUGACUCUAGAAAACAUAAGGUAGUCCGGGUUAAAACACCAACGACAUGUUUUUUGGUGAAUUGUCCUUCAACGUUAUUUUGGUGAAGAUCUCUGACCCUAACCUAAUACAUGUUUGAUCCGAAUACAAUGGCAUGAAACUUAAGGUCACACUAUGGGGUGACUCAACUUUUGAAUUAACAAGAAACCUUGAAGCCAAUGGAGUGAAUCCACAACCCAUUGUGGUUGUUGUAGCUGGUGCCUAUGUCAAGCAAUAUCUAGGCAAGGCUUCGCUUUCCUCAACCAAUGCGACCAAAAUUUACUUCGACGUAGACCUACCAGAGGUGUUGCAUAUCAAAGAAAGGUCUUCUCACCGAACCCCACCACGUGAGAUCACACUCCCUUCUAGAGUUGGGUAUUAUCCGGCUAACAAAUCCAUUGCUGACAAUAAAGUCACUUUCUGAAUUGUUUAAAACAAAGUGGGAAACUGGGUACAAUGUACUCAACCUAUUUGGAGGAUCGGCAACAUGACAAUGACAGAUGAGUCAGCUGGAAUGAAAGGUUUAACAGAUGUGAUGGAGAAAUGUGCAAUCAAAAAGGAGUACAGGGAGACUUCGAUGGGGGUAUCGAUUAGUUGAGUUCAAUGAGAAGGGAGCUGCCGACAAAGAAAACAAUACUAGGAAUCGUCAUUCAUGUUUCUUUGAGUCUCCGCAUUUUGUUUUACUAUGUUUCCCUUUCUGCAUUUUAUUUCAGUAUGCUCUGUUACUGCAUUUUGUUGAGGUGUAGCUCCUUUUUCUGCAUGUUAAUCUUAGUACCUUCUAUUUGAGAGACGAAGUUAAAUUUUAGGAGAUUCACGGUGUAACCGUGCUGAUAUGAUAAGAUUUAUUCUGUUCUCAAAUUUUCUUUGAAGAUAUAUAGGAUUAAACAACUAAU